GGAAUUGCACCGCCCUUGCCAGGAGCCAGCACUCCUCUGCAUUUGGACUCUCCAAACAUAGCCGAUUCCUGAAGAGCACUCCUGAGCCACUUCCCCUGGGGAAUGUAGGUGGGGCUGCUGCGUUCCGUCUACCUGCCAGCAGGGCUGAUGAGGGCCCUUGGGCUUCCUUCCCCACUCCAUGGUGCACUGCUUAAGAGCCCUUCUUGUACAGACUGACAUAUCUGUCGAGUUCCAGCUUACUUUCCAAAGCUGACCAAGGUUCCAUCUAGUGUCUCCCAUCCACAAUGAUCAUCACAACAGGUCCAGUGAACAUCCCUCAUGAUAUAUGGUUAUUUUUCUUCCAACUUCUAAAAUGAGGUGCAUCAUUUGGUGAAGAGCUUCUUUCCUUUUUGGCGCCAGCAUGGGACAUUUGGCCCGCGUUCGUCAUUCCCACAAUCCUCUUGGCUUUGGGCUGCCGACCUCCCUGUGGCUUGGCGGAUGAGACGCCAUUUUUGUGGUGCCUGCGGGUUCAACUUGCUCCACGUUCCUGUACUGCCUUCGGACCCAGAAAGUUCAAACUGAUUUCGGGCAGAGCUAGUUGAUUGCUGAUAAGAAGACCUUUUCCAAGGAGCUCUGGGCUACCGGUGUGCAGAUCCUCUCUGCACUGCAUUCCGACAUCAGCAGCCUUCUUAUCUGCUCUGGAAAUCCUGAAGCAAUAUUUGUAUUAAAUACACAGGUGAGUGCACACCAAAUGGGAAGGCAGCUGUAGAGGCCCAGAAUGGAUCUCCAUUUCAUUAAAGGAUCCCUUCUCUUCGUAGAGUGUUGUGAGGGGAAUAUGUAAAAACGUAGACCUUAAGAAAGGUACCUCUAUUCACAGGCAGACAUGUGGGUUGAUCACACAGGAUACAGUUGAACCCAAACUAACCCUCCCAGUACCAGCUCUUUCAUUCUCCUCCUACAACUGCCAUUCAUAUUCACACCAACACUCUUUAUUGUGAAGAGAGCCAACAAAUGCUAUUUGAGGAUGGUUAAUUACUCAAGGACGAACACUAUACAGAGAAGUUGGAAAAAUAUCUACAGGCAUUGUGGUUUUCAACGUGCCUCCACUUCACUGGGGCAAAGCUGAAAUAUAAAGGCAUUAUUUGGCAAUAUGUACCUUUUUCUAUGAAAAUGCCUUUAUACAAAACCACCAUACUCUUCUCAAGGUUCUCUACCUGACAUGAGAGAAGUUUAAGAAGGUAUAAAGGAAAUACCAAAUGGGACUCGGGCGCUGCGCUAGGAUCUGGAAGACAAUCAAUGCUAGUCUUGAUCUUGAUCCUGAACCUCCACGGUUACUCUCGAGGCAAGUUGUUGAACCUCUCAGGGCCUCAGGUUCUUUCUGGAGACAAUUAUCCUGCCUUCCUCCUGAGACUGUUGGUAGAGUCAAAUGAGAUUGUAUAUGCAGUCAUAUCUAUGAGCUAUAAACUGCUGUACAAAUCUAAGGCACAUUUAAAUAAUUCAAAGGAACCACAUUUAACUAGACUUUUGAAUAUGUCUUAAGAAAAUAAUUUAAGAGCAUUACAUAUCACCAAGUCACGUUUUUACUCAGUAGCCAGUGGGAAAAGGCUGGAGUUGCCGGAAAUGGAAUUUAGGUGAGAAAUUAGAGUUUCUUCAAUCUCUGGAUUGGGAAGUGUUGAAAUAAAUGAUAAAGCGAGGUUUCAUUAUCUCCCUUUUUUAAAAGGAAAAUGCGGAUGGCUAAAGCUUUGGAAAUGAAAAGUAGAUGGGCUGGGACAGGGGGGUGGUUGAUGGAACAGUGCAACGUCGGAGAAUCUCUUUCAUACACAGAAUCAUGUGCCCAUUGCUAGCAGAACACACUUCUUGCUGUGGGUUGCCUUUGUAGUAACUGCACCAAUCAACUCUUGCUGACUCUAAAUGGGGGAAAAGUAAAGUAAAUUUCAAAUGACUUUUUUUCAUUGCUGUUCAUGUUUGCUGCCAAUGUUUGCUUCCAUGCUUGAAAACAUGAGCAGAGAUUUGUCUUUGGGAAGAGCUCUAUUUCUCGUGUUUAAAUAGCUGCUGCCCUAAAGGGGAUUGAAAAGAGGUUGGGGACAGCCAGUAUCCCAUGGCCAGAGGGACAGCACAUUUUGCUCUACAAAACAAAGAAUGUUUAGAAUAAAAAGAAAGCAACCAACGUGGAAUGUGUUAUUGCUUACCUGCAUUUCUUGAAUUGGAUCAGAAACAAAGACAGACAGACAGGGCUCAAAUUGCCUUUGGGCAUUUAUCAUUGUAAGUGUUUGGAGAGCCCAGGUUAUGAAAUAUCAGUGUGAUUAAAGAUUUAUGGAUAUAAUAGUCAUUUUCUUGUUAAUUUAAUUCUCUUACAAUUUUUAAAAAAAUACACAUCUUCUAUUCUAGGCCAAAUUUCUGAAGUAUCUGUCAGGAAGAAAAUGCUAUAAUAUAUGAAUUUUUUGCCCUAUGAACUGAUUAUUUUUAGCAGCUUUUUAUGAGUGUAAUAACAGUAAUUUUAGCAGCUAAUUUACCUAAAAUCAUUUCAUUCCGAAACCUGAAAGCCCCCAAAUCAAAAGGUUCUCUUUGUCUAAAAAGUUUAAUCAAAAUAAAUGUUUCUAGUUAGUUUUGAGAGGAAAAAUUAGGGUUUCUUCUUGCUCAAAUAUUUAGUAAGCUCUCAAGGAGGUGUGGGGGGAAGCAAUCUGCCUGUCAUAGGAGAGAAAAAAAAAUUAAAGAGCAGGAUUUUUAAAUUGUACCUCUUGACACCAAUAAAUAACAAGAAAGAGCUAGUACCAUUCUUUAACAUGCGUGCGUACAAUACAAUAAGCAAAUCUGACUCAUCUGCCAGCCUGAUUGCUUUGUUUAGAAUUCCACUGUCAGAGGUAAAGUGGGGGUGAGGGGAUUUAUGUAAAUUAGGCCCUUCCAAGCUGGAAGAAAGUUGGAUUACUUAAAAAAAAAACAAAAACAAAAAAAAACCCAAAACAAAACAAAAUAAUUUUUCCAACUUUACAAAGUUAAAAGUGCUUUUGUUUCCACAUCAGUUCUGAAUAAGAGUGACUUUUAAGUCCCCAGAUUCAGGUUAGAAGUAUGAUCUGGAAACCACGACGAUGAAUUUCCACAGAUUUUUUCCAAGGUUUGAAGGUAACUGCUCUGUAUCUUCCUGCCUUUCUGGAGUGAGUGUUGGAAUGGGGAAAUGGGCCAGGGGGCUAGAAGAGGGGGAGUGGAUUUUUGGAUGAGACAUUUAGUCCUGGUUUCUGUAUGAGCUGAGUGUCAUCAAUCAGAUUAACCUAAGAAAUAAGCAGCUGCCUGUCUGAAGGUUAUAUAAAGUGAUGGCAGCUCCAGUUUGUUUAUGUUCAAUCAGAAUUGAUACUAAGGUAACAGUAUAGACCCUCAGACCCCUGGAACGUAACAGUAUAGACCCUCUGACCCCUGGAAACCUCUGUGUAGUACCCUAACAUUGUGGGCACUUUGUUGGUUUGUUCUAGAGGGCAGUGGGGCUGGCAUCUGAUUCUCUGACCCCAUUUGACCUGACCGUGGGUAUUUCACAUUCUGGCAGUCUGCGCGCACUUAAAUGCUGAAUUCAGAUUACUUAGAGAAUUCUAGGUCUUCUCUGACACUUCGCAGAGAGGGCAAUGUUGUAGCGUUGACUGCAAAAUAAGAAGUAAUAAAUUCAAAUCCACACCAAUGAUUGGGGAAUCAGAGAGCAUGCGCUUCUGGGGAAAUUUGGUUUUAGGCAAUGGGUGGAGCCUGAUGGCAUGGAGAAACGGUCCUUUCUGGUGACACCAGCGUUUUCCCUUUCCAGCUCCAGUCUAAUCCCAACCAGCCUUGGAUUGACCCGCUAUGGGAGCUGGAAGUUUUGUGAGAAUGCUCUAGCCCUCAUAGCAUUUGAGGGAGAGGACGAGAAGGGGAGACAAUUGGCCUGAAGAAUUGCAUUCUCCCCUGGAAGAGUGGCCAGGCUAAAGUCCAGCAACAGAGCUCUGGGCCUGUGGUUCUCAGAGUUUGUGGAGAACAAGGGUGGCUUCUGUCUACUCGUGGUUCCAGGAAUACUCGCUGAUCUUCCUCGUCCUGAAGAAGCGGAGACAUGGGGGUUCACAACCUCUGUCUGAGGUGGAGCAUGUCACUCUUUGUCCCUAAGGAGACCAAGAACUAAUAAUAAAAUACCAAAUGGUUAAAUAUUUUCUAUUAUUUUUAACAGGACUUCUUAUCAUUUUCUUAUUUUUUUAAAUGAAGAAGUGGAAUUCAGUCAGGUUGUGUGCUGAAUCCUCUGUCACAAUGGCUAACUUAACAUUAAUUAACAUUUUUUGUCAGGAGCUGCACAAGAGCUAGCUUUGAGCAGAGAAAUGGAGAGGCAGGACUGGGUAGGACAAACACAACCUCCCAAAGGAUGUUAAACUGGGGGACAGUAUUUUUUUAGAUGGCUGUGCAAGAUUGAUGUGUCAUUGGUGCCAUGACUGUGGAGGCAAUGACCCAAAUGAAGCUCAUUUUGAAAUGGAAAAUGUAUCUGUUAUAGGAAUGAGAAAGUACUAUCAACUCAUUUACACUGUGUUGCCGCGAUUUUUCUGUAUACAUUGCUUAAAUUAUUUCAUUUUUGCUAAUUUCUGAACAGUAGUGGGAUUGAGGCCGGGGUCUACAUUUUGUAGUUUUGUAUUGGCUGGACAGUUUUAAUAAAUCCAAAAGUAUGAGAGCAAAUUUUUUAAAAAUUUUGAGAAUUAUUAAUUUGUUUCAUAAUUAUGAGACAAUAUUUGACAGAUAUUUCACAGGCAUUGAACAACAUUGUUCAACAAUUUUGAAGAGACAUUUUUGGGAGUGAAUUUUGAGGAGCCAUUUUUGGGGGUGAAAAUGUCUCAACAAUCCCUGCCCUCGGAAAGGUCAAAUUAGCUUUAUUUGAAAUAAUGUGACUCCAAAGACACCCUCACCCUCCUUUUUGUCAUCUUCCAGUAUAUCCACUGGAACUGUCCUGUUAGUGUCCAGAUCUCAAAAUGUGUUCUUUCAAAGAUUCCUCCUAAGAGGAGCUGUGGCCCUCAAGCAUGGUAUGCCUUGGAGAGUAGCCUGCUUUUAAUGAUGAUAAGAAAUGUCACAAAAAAAUGAUCUAUCGCAUGUACUUUCUUAGUAUAAUAUAUGAGAAAAGUUUGUUCUAUCCUUUUUAUUCAUUCUAACAGACAUUAUUAGACAUAAUGAGCAAUAUUGUAGAGACUUAUACAAUAAGUUGAGAAUUUAUGGUGAUGGAGAUGGAUGAUGAUCAGGUAUAAGAACAUUAAAAAAACAACAACACUAUUUGGCCCGUUGUGUUCUCAUUAUGUUUAGUUGCCAGAAUCCCCCAGAUAAGACUUAAUUUUCCCUUUUAAAUAAUCUGUGAAUUUAUAUUUUAAAAAUACCUC